GGGGACAGCUCAGUGGUAGAGCACAUGCUUGGGGUACAUGAGGUCCUGGGAUCAAUCCCCAGUGCUGCCA
rnacentral:tRNA from 1 species